AGAAGCUUGCUUCUCUGAUGUUAGCGGCGGACGGGUGAGUAACACGUGGAUAACCUACCUAUAAGACUGGGAUAACUUCGGGAAACCGGAGCUAAUACCGGAUAAUAUUUUGAACCGCAUGGUUCAAAAGUGAAAGACGGUCUUGCUGUCACUUAUAGAUGGAUCCGCGCUGCAUUAGCUAGUUGGUAAGGUAACGGCUUACCAAGGCAACGAUGCAUAGCCGACCUGAGAGGGUGAUCGGCCACACUGGAACUGAGACACGGUCCAGACUCCUACGGGAGGCAGCAGUAGGGAAUCUUCCGCAAUGGGCGAAAGCCUGACGGAGCAACGCCGCGUGAGUGAUGAAGGUCUUCGGAUCGUAAAACUCUGUUAUUAGGGAAGAACAUAUGUGUAAGUAACUGUGCACAUCUUGACGGUACCUAAUCAGAAAGCCACGGCUAACUACGUGCCAGCAGCCGCGGUAAUACGUAGGUGGCAAGCGUUAUCCGGAAUUAUUGGGCGUAAAGCGCGCGUAGGCGGUUUUUUAAGUCUGAUGUGAAAGCCCACGGCUCAACCGUGGAGGGUCAUUGGAAACUGGAAAACUUGAGUGCAGAAGAGGAAAGUGGAAUUCCAUGUGUAGCGGUGAAAUGCGCAGAGAUAUGGAGGAACACCAGUGGCGAAGGCGACUUUCUGGUCUGUAACUGACGCUGAUGUGCGAAAGCGUGGGGAUCAAACAGGAUUAGAUACCCUGGUAGUCCACGCCGUAAACGAUGAGUGCUAAGUGUUAGGGGGUUUCCGCCCCUUAGUGCUGCAGCUAACGCAUUAAGCACUCCGCCUGGGGAGUACGACCGCAAGGUUGAAACUCAAAGGAAUUGACGGGGACCCGCACAAGCGGUGGAGCAUGUGGUUUAAUUCGAAGCAACGCGAAGAACCUUACCAAAUCUUGACAUCCUUUGACAACUCUAGAGAUAGAGCUUUCCCCUUCGGGGGACAAAGUGACAGGUGGUGCAUGGUUGUCGUCAGCUCGUGUCGUGAGAUGUUGGGUUAAGUCCCGCAACGAGCGCAACCCUUAAGCUUAGUUGCCAUCAUUAAGUUGGGCACUCUAAGUUGACUGCCGGUGACAAACCGGAGGAAGGUGGGGAUGACGUCAAAUCAUCAUGCCCCUUAUGAUUUGGGCUACACACGUGCUACAAUGGACAAUACAAAGGGCAGCGAAACCGCGAGGUCAAGCAAAUCCCAUAAAGUUGUUCUCAGUUCGGAUUGUAGUCUGCAACUCGACUACAUGAAGCUGGAAUCGCUAGUAAUCGUAGAUCAGCAUGCUACGGUGAAUACGUUCCCGGGUCUUGUACACACCGCCCGUCACACCACGAGAGUUUGUA
rnacentral:rRNA from 1 species